AUGCGAGUCAUUGUAGCAAUACAAGGCAGACGGCUCAGUAACGCGUAGUCAACCUAACCUAUGGAUGGGAAUAACCUCGGGAAACUGAGAAUAAUGCCCAAUAGAACACUAUACCUGGAAUGGUUUGUGUUCCAAAUGAUUUAUCGCCGUAGGAUGGGACUGCGGCCUAUCAGUUUGUUGGUGAGGUAAUGGCCCACCAAGACUAUUACAGGUACGGGCUCUGAGAGGAGUAGCCCGGAGAUGGGUACUGAGACACGGACCCAGGCCCUAUGGGGCGCAGCAGGCGAGAAAACUUUGCAAUGUGCGAAAGCACGACAAGGUUAAUCCGAGUGAUUUGUGCUAAACGAAUCUUUUGUUAGUCCUAGAACCACUAACGAAUAAGGGGUGGGCAAGUCUGGUGUCAGCCGCCGCGGUAAAACCAGCACCUCAAGUGGUCAGGAUGAUUAUUGGGCCUAAAGCAUCCGUAGCCGGCUCUGUAAGUUUUCGGUUAAAUCUGUACGCUUAACGUACAGGCUGCCGGGAAUACUGCAGAGCCAGGGAGUGGGAGAGGUAGACGGUACUCGGUAGGAAGGGGUAAAAUCCUUUGAUCUAUUGAUGACCACCUGUGGCGAAGGCGGUCUACCAGAACACGUCCGACGGUGAGGGAUGAAAGCUGGGGGAGCAAACCGGAUUAGAUACCCGGGUAGUCCCAGCUGUAAACUAUGCAAACUCAGUGAUGCAUUGACUGUGGUCAAUGCAGUGCUGCAGGGAAGCCGUUAAGUUUGCCGCCUGGGAAGUACGUACGCAAGUAUGAAACUUAAAGGAAUUGGCGGGGGAGCACCACAAGGGGUGAAGCCUGCGGUUCAAUUGGAUUCAACGCCGGAA
rnacentral:rRNA from 1 species